rnacentral:rRNA from 1 species
UACAGAGGGUGCAAGCGUUGUUCGGAAUCACUGGGCGUAAAGGGAGCGUAGGCGGGCUUCUAAGUUAGGUGUUUAAUCCCGGGGCCCAACCCCGGUCGUGCACCUAAAACUGGGAGUCUUGAAUAGUGGAGAGGUCAGUGGAAUUGGGGGUGUAGCGGUGGAAUGCGUAGAGAUCCCCAAGAACACCAGUUGCGAAGGCGGCUGACUGGACACAUAUUGACGCUGAGGCUCGAAAGCAUGGGGAGCAAACAGG